AAGCAACGCGAAGAACCUUACCAGGUCUUGACAUCCCGAUGCUAUUUCUAGAGAUAGAAAGUUACUUCGGUACAUCGGUGACAGGUGGUGCAUGGUUGUCGUCAGCUCGUGUCGUGAGAUGUUGGGUUAAGUCCCGCAACGAGCGCAACCCCUAUUGUUAGUUGCCAUCAUUCAGUUUGGGCACUCUAGCGAGACUGCCGGUAAUAAACCGGAGGAAGGUGGGGAUGACGUCAAAUCAUCAUGCCCCUUAUGACCUGGGCUACACACGUGCUACAAUGGUUGGUACAACGAGUUGCGAGUCGGUGACGGCGAGCUAAUCUCUUAAAGCCAAUCUCAGUUCGGAUUGUAGGCUGCAACUCGCCUACAUGAAGUCGGAAUCGCUAGUAAUCGCGGAUCAGCACGCCGCGGUGAAUACGUUCCCGGGCCUU
rnacentral:rRNA from 1 species